rnacentral:lncRNA from 1 species
ACUUGGCGCGCGGCGCGGGAUGCAGACGGCUGCGAGGCGCUGGGCACAGGUUGCUGUCCCCUUUGACGAUGAUGACAAGAUCGUUGGGGGCUACACCUGUGAGAAUUCUCUCCCCUACCAGGUGUCCCUGAAUUCUGGCUCCCACUUCUGCGGUGGCUCCCUCAUCAGCGAACAGUGGGUGGUAUCAGCAGCUCACUGCUACAAGACG